rnacentral:rRNA from 1 species
CACGUAGGGGACGAGCGUUGUCCGGAUUCAUUGGGCGUAAAGCGCGCGUAGGCGGCUCGGAAAGUCGGUCGUGAAAUGCCGGGGGCUCAACCUCGGGUCUGCAGUCGAUACGAGCAAACUAGAGUGUUGCAGGGGAGACUGGAAUUCCUGGUGUAGCGGUGAAAUGCGCAGAUAUCAGGAGGAACACCGGUGGCGAAGGCGGGUCUCUGGGCAGCAACUGACGCUGAGGAGCGAAAGCGUGGGGAGCGAACAGGAU